rnacentral:rRNA from 1 species
UACGUAGGGUGCGAGCGUUAAUCGGAAUUACUGGGCGUAAAGCGUGCGCAGGCGGUGAUGUAAGACAGAUGUGAAAUCCCCGGGCUCAACCUGGGAACUGCAUUUGUGACUGCAUCGCUGGAGUGCGGCAGAGGGGGAUGGAAUUCCGCGUGUAGCAGUGAAAUGCGAAGAUAUGCGGAGGAACACCGAUGGCGAAGGCAAUCCCCUGGGCCUGCACUGACGCUCAUGCACGAAAGCGUGGGGAGCAAACAGG